UGUGACACUAAUUGGAUCCAGCAGCUAAAACUGUAAUCAUACAUCAAACAAUAGAAAAAGGCUCAAUAAGAACUCCGAUUCAUUCUUUCAAUCAGUUAAUGAAUCAAUCAAUGUUAGCUUUAUUUCCGCAUAGAAUGAAAUGACAAUGUUCACAAUUACAGAAUAACAGAAUAACAAGAGUUAAUGAAAUGGAAUGAACUAAACACAAAAAUAUAAUAAUUACGAAUUUGAAUUGGCAAUUAUACUAUACAUAUUUCCACAAAAUUUCUAAUUUGCAACACAUUUGCAGCAAAUUAUUGUAUCUAAGCUACGUAUCCUGUAAAUCAUACUAUUACAUGCAUUGAGCUUGUUUCUGUUGAUAAAUUGCAACUGAUGAGAAAUUAUUAGUUCUGGUUGUAGCAUUAACUUUUGUUCGCGAUUUUUUUUUUUAAUUGAUGAAAUAGUCCAUCACGAAGUAGGAAAUUGGUUUCAUUCGUUCAAUCUGUAGGCGUCCCACGUGUUUUCAUGACUAAAUUUACCGACAGUUUUUUAAAUUUAUUUUAAAAUUUCUUCCUGAUCUCCAAUCACUUGAAAGAGUGAUAAUGAAUGUUGCCAGUACCGAAACAAAAAAAUGUCUCUUACCUUUGUAUUGCUAAUAAUCUAUACUAUCCACGAAGGCAUAUGUUUGGAAGGUCUGAAUGUAUGCGAAGACUGGAGAAGCAAAAUAGAGUAUUGUUGUGCGGGCUAUGAAGACAAACAUGGUAUAUGUACAGAAUGCAACAUUGGUUUUACAUCUAUAAGCGGCAACUCGUGCACCCCGUGUGGAAACAACAGAUUCGGUGAAAGAUGUCUGGUUCGUUGCAACUGUCAGAGUGUAGAGAGGUGUGAUAAUGUAGUAGGGUGUAUACCAAAUGAAGUAAGCGACAACACCGCGCAUUCCACAAGAGCCACGGAGGAUAUUUUUUCCGAAAAACAGACGGUGCUAAAUUUGAAGUUGUUUGUCUACUGCGGAGGAAUUGCAGGAAUUAUAUUGCUGGUUUUGAGCUGUUCUGCUUGUGUGCAGUUCAGAAAUAGAGGGAAAAAACCAAACAUGACAAUUUCAAAUGAAGAAAACAGAAUUCUAAGAGGUUCAGUCAAAGACAAUCAAAAUAUAUCUACACAAAAGAAAAGUAUGCAUAUAUACCAUACCAUCGAUGACGACAUAUUAACAGAUCGAAAUUCCGAUUGUUAUGCAUAUCCAGUAGUACAGAAUGAAUCCAGUGACCCCAAAAGAAAAAAAAGUGAAACUGAAGCUGCUUGUAGUUAUGCUCAACCAUACAAAAGCCUGGUCCCUGUAACUAUUGAAAUGCAUCAUUAUAAAUAGAGAAAAUGAUUAGAAAUAUGCUUAAAACAGUUCACGCAGUAAUAAAUAAAAAAGAACCAUGAACACAGAAACGAAUCAAUUAUUUCAAAAGGGCCAACAAAUAAAAAUAUCAGACAAAAAAAAAGCCUCAGAAAUGACAAGGAAAAAUAAAUAGCUGUGAUCUGCUUUUCAUGUGUUAUAGAUAUAUGAGCAUGCUGUAUCAGAAUUUUUUAAUUUGGUUUUGUACUCUUUCUUUUGCCAUGUGUCUGUGUUAUAUAGUGUUGUUACAUGCAUAUUUUAGUUUUAAUUUGUUGCACAAAUGUAUGAUAUAUGUUGAAUUUUUGUUAGAUUUUUUUUCACUCUUAAUAAAAAAAAUGGCUUUC